rnacentral:rRNA from 1 species
AUUGAACGCUGGCGGAAUGCUUUACACAUGCAAGUCGAGCGGCAGCGCGGGGCAACCUGGCGGCGAGCGGCGAACGGGUGAGUAACACAUCGGAACAUACCCAGUCGUGGGGGAUAACACUUCGAAAGAAGUGCUAAUACCGCAUACGUCCUGAGGGAGAAAGCGGGGGAUCUUCGGACCUCGCGCGAUUGGAGUGGCCGAUGUCAGAUUAGCUAGUUGGUGGGGUAAAGGCCUACCAAGGCGACGAUCUGUAGCUGGUCUGAGAGGACGACCAGCCACACUGGGACUGAGACACGGCCCAGACUCCUACGGGAGGCAGCAGUGGGGAAUUUUGGACAAUGGGGGCAACCCUGAUCCAGCCAUUCCGCGUGAGUGAAGAAGGCCUUCGGGUUGUAAAGCUCUUUCGGCAGGAACGAAACGGCGUGCUCUAACAUAGCGCGUUAAUGACGGUACC